AUCAUCACUGACAUUUACAUUGCUUUUCUAGGGCAGUAGUGAAUGCUCCAGUACAACCUGUGGAAUCACAAGACGACACUACAUACUACACAAUACAGACAAUCGAUCAGGACUUUGUAUGCUCCACUGUGCAAAGAUGCAACAUAAUACAGACUUGCGAUCAACCUCCUGUAUAUAGUGAAUUAUCACGGCACUGCCCAGCAGAGUGAAGAUUCAUUACAAGGCUUCUAGUUCUUCAGUCUGAACAAUCGCAGAUGCUGACUGACCUGCUGAAAAUCUUCACAACCAACAGUUGUCCUUUGUGUUCAAUUGCUUAUAUAUUAUAAUAUAGGAGGAGUCCAUUUGGCCCAUCUGACCAAUGUCAUCAUCUCCUGCCCCUCCUGCCAAACUCCUGCAACAUAUUGGCUCACAUUGGCCCAUCAACCUAUUCCGCCACAUUACUAAGGGAUAGGGAACAGUGAAACCUUUAACCUAUUAUCAUAUAUUUGCCAUGUAGGAUGAAACCGGACGUCUCUAAAGCUUGGAAAGAUUUGGAGGCACCCAGAUUUAAAGGGGACCGAGAGACAGGUUUUGGUGUGGUGGGCAAAUGGAAUGAGUUACCAGAGGAGGUGGUGGAGACAAUGUCUAAAGGUCAUUUGAACAGAUAUAUGGACAGGGGAGGUAUCGGGGGAUUCCAGCCAAACAAAGGCAAAUAGGAUGAGCUUGGGAAGCCACGCUACUCACUAUGCAUGCGUUGUUCUGUGCUGAACAAGUCUACGAUUCUAGAGAGUCCAGGUGAACCCACACCGGGGGAAUGAGCUAAUUGCCAGAGACAGCACCUGAGGGGAAACAUGAAGCACAAACUGAUGCAUCACCCUAUGACUGUCCAGUAGCAUCAUGUCAUCAUACUCCGCCUGCCUGCAUUGGAAUACAAG